CCUACGGGAGGCAGCAGUGGGGAAUUGUUCACAAUGGGCGCAAGCCUGAUGACGCAACGCCGCGUGGGGGAUGAAGGUCUUCGGAUCGUAAACCCCUGUCGAAUGGGACGAAUAGCUUCCGGAUUAAUACCCCGGAGGAAUGACGGUACCGUUAAAGGAAGCCACGGCUAACUCUGUGCCAGCAGCCGCGGUAAUACAGAGGUGGCAAGCGUUGUUCGGAAUUACUGGGCGUAAAGGGCGCGUAGGCGGCCAUCUAAGUCAGACGUGAAAUCCCCCGGCUCAACCUGGGAACUGCGUCUGAUACUGGAAGGCUAGAGUUUGGGAGAGGGAUGUAGAAUUCCAGGUGUAGCGGUGAAAUGCGUAGAUAUCUGGAGGAAUACCGGUGGCGAAGGCGGCAUCCUGGACCAAUACUGACGCUGAGGCGCGAAAGCUAGGGGAGCAAACGGGGAUUAGAUACCCCGGGUAGUCCUAGCCCUAAACGAUGAAUACUUGGUGUGGCGGGUAUCGAUCCUCGCCGUCGCCGACGACUACGACAUAAGUAGUUCCGUCCGUCGGGUAGGUACGGGUCGGCGACGGCGUGUAAACGUACUUAGUUAGUAGUUAGUUACGGCGUUGAGACGUGCCGACGGACGACGACGAGGGAGGAGG
rnacentral:rRNA from 1 species